GUGGUUAAUAUCGUUUCCUUCAAUUGCAGUUCUGGAGGUGCAGAGACUGGAGCACGUGGAAGUUUGCAAGAGCAGAGGCCUUCAUCCUAUGUCUGUGGAUUCAAGAGGUUAUGCAGAAUCUGGGUGUUUUCUGUCUAAGUUCCUCUUCCCAUCUUACCACCUGCACAGCAGAAGGAGAAAGGGAUGGGGCAGAGCAAAUAUAAGGCUUCAGAACAUUGGGAGUUCAGAGCACAUAUACUUUAGGACAUGUCUAUAGAGCAGGCUAUCACAAUCCCCUGAGCCAGAUCUCAGUAAGUAUGUAGUCUUGUUUACAUACAAGACUUGUGGAUUUGUUUUUGUACCUGUUCUUCCUACUACGUAUUGUACUGGAACUGUAGAGCAUAGGGUGAACAGGGCAAAGGGAAAGCCCUCUUCCCUCUCACCAAGGAGCUGGACAUUGAAAUCUACCUCAUAGGAGGCUCCUGUUGCGUGGCCCUAUUCCUUGGAAGACAGGAACAGGUAUUUACUCACCCCAGAUAGGGAACUGAAGGACCCUACCACAGUCCAACAUGAUGAACCUCUGAGUUUUAUUGGGGUUACUUACAACAGAAAUGACUCUCUGCAGCCAUAAACCAGUCCCAAUUAAGUACUUUCUUUUUAUAAAAAUUGCUUUGGUGUCUCUUCACAGCAAUCGAGCACUGACUAGAAGAAUAUGCUUGGGGAAGGAGGGGCCUGGUGAAUCUUGAUAGUUUCAGGAAUUUCUGAAGCGUUUGAAUGGACAUUUUUAGCUUACUAAGCUUCCAUGCAGGAUAGAAGGUUUUAUCACCUUUCGAGCAUCCUGUUGUUUCACCUCUGUUUACAUCCUGUGUCUUAAGGACUUUCUGUCUAAAAUGGGAGGGUUUAGUUGUAAAGGAAGCCAUUGAACAACAGCUCCUUUGCCAUGGAAAUUUGAGAGCUAUCCCCAAAUUAGAUGU
rnacentral:lncRNA from 1 species